UCUGCCGCGCCUCUCGCGAGAGUAAUCACUAAUAAGCGUGCGAGCGCCGCUGUUUAAACUUCAACGGUUACGGUGCGCUCGGGACAACGACGAUUACAUUGGUAAGUGAGAAAAUUAAUUAAUUGCAGCUUAUUUCAAUUACUUUUACCUAAACCCUUGUCAUUUUUAGUUAGCCUAACGUUACACGUUUAUUUCAAGAAGCUAAAAAGAAAAGAAAAGUGGUUUAUCGCGUUGUCCAGGCCUGCGCAAUUCUUCGCCGGGAGAUUGUAUUGGACCUAUAUGUAUAGGAAAAGAUGAAACAAAGUUUCGGUCAAAUCACCGUCUGCCAGCCGGUAUAAACAUGAAUUCAAACUAAGAAGGACAAAGAGAGAAGCUGAUGGAGAUGUUAAAAUUUUUUCUGUGAAGAACUAUGUUCAUCUAUCUCAGAGAGCACUUUUAAAGUUUUACCACCACCUUAUCAGAGUGCUGAAAAGUGGAAGUCAGAGGAAACAUGACCAACUUGCUGCAAAACAAUAACACAAAAGGUCUGGACUAUGGAGUGCAUGCAGCCUUACUUGUUUGGUCAUCUACAUUCAGAUGAAAACACCACACUCCUCUCUAAUUCAAGAUGUCAAGCCUACUCAUCGCAAGGAGAGUUAGCAUCAAAAUGGAUGUGUCACUGACCAAUAACACAGAGAUGCCAGAAGUAUCUGUUUGCUGUCUACUUUUUGUUAAGUACUAUGGAGCAUCCAAAAGCCAUCACUCAGUUAAAUUCAA